GACGUAGGGGCAGCAGUCGUUCGGUUCGAUUUGUGGCGUAAAGAGCGUGUAGGCGGCUAGAUAGGUCCGUUUGUGAAAACUCGAGGCUCAACCUCGAGACGUCGAUGGAAACCAUCUGGCUAGAGUCCGGAAGAGGAGAGUGGAAUUCCUGGUGUAGCGGUGAAAUGCGCAGAUAUCAGGAAGAACACCCGUGGCGAAGGCGGCUCUCUGGUACGUGACUGACGCUGGAGAGCGAAAAGCGUGGGGGAGCAAAACAGGG
rnacentral:rRNA from 1 species